UCCCACCGGUUCCCGUACGAUCAUCGAAGUUAAGCAACGUCGAGCUUGGUCAGUACCUAGAUGGGUGAUCGAUUGGGAAUAUCAGAUGCUGUAA